rnacentral:rRNA from 1 species
GGGGAAUAUUGGGCAAUGGACGCAAGUCUGACCCAGCAACGCCGCGUGAAGGAAGAAGGCUUUCGGGUUGUAAACUUCUUUUAAGGGGGAAGAGUAGAAGACGGUACCCCUUGAAUAAGCCACGGCUAACUACGUGCCAGCAGCCGCGGUAAUACGUAGGGGACAAGCGUUGUCCGGAUUUACUGGGCGUAAAGGGCACGCAGGCGGUUUUUUAAGUCAGAUGUGAAAGGUACCGGCUCAACCGGUGACAUGCAUUUGAAACUGGAUAUCUAGAGUGCAGGAGAGGAAAGCGGAAUUCCUAGUGUAGCGGUGAAAUGCGUAGAGAUUAGGAAGAACACCAGUGGCGAAGGCGGCUUUCUGGACUGUAACUGACGCUGAGGCACGAAAGCGUGGGUAGCAAACA